rnacentral:rRNA from 1 species
UUAGCGAUAAAGGGUGUGAAAAGCACCCUCGCCGAAAGCCCAAGGUUUCCUACGCAACGUUCAUCGGCGUAGGGUGAGUCGGCCCCUAAGGCGAGGCAGAAAUGCGUAGUCGAUGGGAAACAGGUGAAUAUUCCUGUACCGGUUAUUACUGCGAUGGGGGGACGGAGAAGGUUAGGCCAGCCAGGCUUUGGAUGUCCUGGUUCAAGCGUCCAGUCGUGGUCUCUAGGCAAAUCCGGAGAUCUUAGAUGAGGCGUGAUAACGAGUCUGCUUGCAGACGAAGUGGUUGAUACCCUGCUUCCAGGAAAAGCCUCUAAGCUUCAGGUAAUAAUCGACCGUACCGCAAACCGACACAGGUGGGCAGGUUGAAAAUACCAAGGCGCUUGAGAGAACUCAGGAGAAGGAACUCGGCAAAUUGAUACCGUAACUUCGGGAGAAGGUAUGCCCCGGUAGCUUGUAGUCGUACAGACGAAGGGCGAUGGGGCCGCAGAGAAUCGGUGGCUGCGACUGUUUAAUAAAAACACAGCACUCUGCAAACACGAAAGUGGACGUAUAGGGUGUGACGCCUGCCCGGUGCCGGAAGGUUAAUUGAUGGGGUGCAAGCUCUUGAUCGAAGCCCCGGUAAACGGCGGCCGUAACAAUAACGGUCCUAAGGUAGCGAAAUUCCUUGUCGGGUAAGUUCCGACCUGCACGAAUGGCGUAACGAUGGCCACACUGUCUCCUCCUGAGACUCAGCGAAGUUGAAAUGUUUGUGAAGAUGCAAUCUCCCCGCGGCUAGACGGAAAGACCCCAUGAACCUUUACUGUAGCUUUACAUUGGACUUUGACGGGACUUGUGUAGGAUAGGUGGGAGGCUUUGAAGCCGGGACGCUAGUUCCGGUGGAGCCAACCUUGAAAUACCACCCUGGUGUCGUUGAGGUUCUAACCUUGAUCCGUGAAUCCGGAUCGGGGACCGUGUAUGGUGGGCAGUUUGACUGGGGCGGUCUCCUCCCAAAGAGUAACGGAGGAGUACGAAGGUCUUCUAGGUACGGUCGGACAUCGUACUGAUAGUGCAAUGGCAAAAGAAGGCUUGACUGCGAGACCCACAAGUCGAGCAGGUGCGAAAGCAGGUCAUAGUGAUCCGGUGGUUCUGUAUGGAAGGGCCAUCGCUCAACGGAUAAAAGGUACUCUGGGGAUAACAGGCUGAUUCCGCCCAAGAGUUCACAUCGACGGCGGAGUUUGGCACCUCGAUGUCGGCUCAUCACAUCCUGGGGCUGUAGCCGGUCCCAAGGGUAUGGCUGUUCGCCAUUUAAAGUGGUACGUGAGCUGGGUUUAAAACGUCGUGAGACAGUUUGGUCCCUAUCUGCCGUGGGCGUUGGAAGUUUGAGGGGACCUGCUCCUAGUACGAGAGGACCGGAGUGGACAGAUCUCUGGUGUACCGGUUGUCACGCCAGUGGCAUCGCCGGGUAGCUAAAUCUGGAAGAGAUAACCGCUGAAAGCAUCUAAGCGGGAAACUCGCCUCAAGAUGAGACUUCCCUGGGGAUUCGAUCCCCCUGAAGGGUCGUUCAAGACCAGGACGUUGAUAGGUCAGGUGUGGAAGCG